AGUGAACGCUGGCGGCAGGCCUAAUACAUGCAAGUCGAACGGCAGCACAGCAGAGCUUGCUCUGUGGGUGGCGAGUGGCGGACGGGUGAGGAAUACGUGGGAAUCUGCCCAGUCGUGGGGGAUAACGUAGGGAAACUUACGCUAAUACCGCAUGCGCCCUUCGGGGGAAAGCCGGGGACCUUCGGGCCUGGCGCGAUUGGAUGAGCCCACGUCGGAUUAGCUAGUUGGCGGGGUAAAGGCCCACCAAGGCGACGAUCCGUAGCUGGUCUGAGAGGAUGAUCAGCCACACUGGAACUGAGACACGGUCCAGACUCCUACGGGAGGCAGCAGUAGGGAAUAUUGGACAAUGGGCGCAAGCCUGAUCCAGCCAUGCCGCGUGAGUGAAGAAGGCCCUCGGGUUGUAAAGCUCUUUUGUCCGGAAAAGAAAAGCGCCGGGUUAAUACCCUGGUGUCCUGACGGUACCGGAAGAAUAAGCACCGGCUAACUUCGUGCCAGCAGCCG
rnacentral:rRNA from 1 species